CAGAGGCAGAGAGACAGAGAGGAGCCACCCUAAGAAGAGAGACCAGAUACCCUUUUCUCAUCCUUUGAGUUCAACAGAUGUCUCUUCUGGUUGCAAGUGACAGAAGCCCACACAGAAAAGGCUCAGACCAAAGAGAAAUUUAUGGGCUCCUGAAACCGAUGGGGGUGAUGAUCCCACUUCUCUGACUCUCACCCAGAAGUUAGGAACUCCUUAAG
rnacentral:lncRNA from 10 species